AAGUCAUAAAGUAUAAAUUGAUAACUGUAUAUGCAGUAUAGUGGGAUAGUGUCGAGGCGUUUUGCUUGGAUUAACUAAAUUGUUGAAUGAUGUCUUCUCGAAUUUUCGAAGGAUCGGUCUUGGCCAACGACUAUGUUCAAUAUCGACCCAGCGUUCCUGAAAUCGUGACUGAGUCUGUGAUCAAACACACCAAAAACAGCACUGAUCUUAAACCGGGGCUGGUAGUUGAUGUUGGGUGUGGUUCUGGUCAGUUCACUCAAAGUCUCGCCAGACAUUUCGACCGGGCUCUGGGAUUCGACAUCAGUGAAGCUCAGAUUGAAGAGGCAAAGAAGCACAAUCAAUUCAGUCAUGUUGA